AAUGAACGCUGGCGGUAUGCCUAACACAUGCAAGUCGAACGGCAGCACAGUAAGAUCUUGCUCUUACCGGUUGCCGGUGGCGUACGGGUGAGGUAUACAUCCGGAUCUACUCUUUCGUGGAGGACUACGUAGGUACAUUUACGCUAGUACCGCAUACCACCUACGGGUGAGAGCAGGGGAUUUUCUCAGCUUGCGCUGAUCAAUGAGCCUAUCUCUGAGUAGCUAGUUGGCGGGGUAAAGGCCAACCCAGGCGACGAUCCGUAGCUGGUGUGUGAGGAUGAACAGCCACACUGGAACUGGGACACGAUACUGAGUCUUACGGGAGGCACAAGCGGGGAAUAUUGGAAAAUGGGCGCAAGCCUGAUCCAGCCAUGCCGCGCGGGUGAAGCAGGGCUUCGGGUGGUAAAGCCGUUUUGUUGGGAUAGAAACGUAGCAGGAUGAUCCACCGCUGAUCUGACGGUACCCAAAGAAGAAGCACCGGCUAACUUCGUG
rnacentral:rRNA from 1 species